rnacentral:sRNA from 1 species
AUGUCAUGGCCAUCGCCGACCUGGGUCGAGCGACCGUGGCCGCGACGGUCGUGGGCAAUGACGCGAUAGCCCUUGCCCAGGAAAUAGAGCAUCUGCGC